UACGUAGGGCGCAAGCGUUAUCCGGAAUUAUUGGGCGUAAAGAGCUCGUAGGCGGUUUGUCGCGUCUGCCGUGAAAGUCCGGGGCUCAACUCCGGAUCUGCGGUGGGUACGGGCAGACUAGAGUGAUGUAGGGGAGACUGGAAUUCCUGGUGUAGCGGUGAAAUGCGCAGAUAUCAGGAGGAACACCGGUGGCGAAGGCGGGUCUCUGGGCCGAUACUGACGCUGAGGAGCGAAAGCGUGGGGAGCAAACGGG
rnacentral:rRNA from 1 species